GUACAAAUAGUUUAAGUAAAAAAUAUUGAUUUGUGGUAUCAAAGAUUUAAUAAAUUUAAUUUAUACU
rnacentral:tRNA from 1 species